GAUGAAGAACGUAGCGAAAUGCGAUACUUGGUGUGAAUUGCAGAAUCCCGUGAACCAUCGAGUCUUUGAACGCAAGUUGCGCCCGAAGCCUCGGCUAAGGGCACGUCUGCCUGGGCGUCACGCAUCGCGUCUCCCCCAAACCACCAAGGCGGAGGGGAAGGAAGAUGGCUUCCCGUGCCUCACCCGGCGCGGUUGGCCUAAAUUUGGAGCCCGCGGCACUUAGCUCACGCGGCGAUAGGUGGUGAACAAGGCCUUGGCCGUGCAAACAACCCGCUGCGAAGCUCUAUGUCACGUGCGCUCGUCGGACCCUUUGAAGUUGCCUUCGGUGACUUAAAACCUUUGCGACCCCAGGUCAGGCGGGGCUACCCGCUGAAUUUAAGCAUAUCAAUAAGCGGAGGA
rnacentral:misc_RNA from 1 species